rnacentral:miRNA from 1 species
UGUUGCAAGUCAGUGGAGAGGU